rnacentral:rRNA from 1 species
GACAGAGGCCCCAAGCGUUAGGCGGAAUCACUGGGCUUAAAGCGUGUGUAGGCGGAUCGUUAAGUGUCUUGUGAAAUCCCACGGCUCACCCGUGGAACUGCUGGGCAUACUGGCGAUCUUGGGCCAAUUAGGGGCAGCCGGAACAAGCGGUGGAGCGGUGAAAUGCGUAGAUAUCGCUUGGAACGCCGAAGGUGAAAACAGGCUGCUGGGGUUGUGCCGACGCUGAGACACGAAUGCCAGGGGAGCAAACGGG